UGAGACACGGCCCAGACUCCUACGGGAGGCAGCAGUAGGGAAUCUUCGGCAAUGGACGGAAGUCUGACCGAGCAACGCCGCGUGAGUGAAGAAGGUUUUCGGAUCGUAAAGCUCUGUUGUAAGAGAAGAACGAGUGUGAGAGUGGAAAGUUCACACUGUGACGGUAUCUUACCAGAAAGGGACGGCUAACUACGUGCCAGCAGCCGCGGUAAUACGUAGGUCCCGAGCGUUGUCCGGAUUUAUUGGGCGUAAAGCGAGCGCAGGCGGUUAGAUAAGUCUGAAGUUAAAGGCUGUGGCUCAACCAUAGUAGGCUUUGGAAACUGUUUAACUUGAGUGCAAGAGGGGAGAGUGGAAUUCCAUGUGUAGCGGUGAAAUGCGUAGAUAUAUGGAGGAACACCAGUGGCGAAAGCGGCUCUCUGGCUUGUAACUGACGCUGAGGCUCGAAAGCGUGGGGAGCAAACAGGAUUAGAUACCCUGGUAGUCCACGCUGUAAACGAUGAGUGCUAGGUGUUAGACCCUUUCCGGGGUUUAGUGCCGUAGCUAACGCAUUAAGCACUCCGC
rnacentral:rRNA from 1 species